rnacentral:rRNA from 1 species
CCUACGGGUGGCAGCAGUGAGGAAUAUUGGUCAAUGGACGAGAGUCUGAACCAGCCAAGUAGCGUGAAGGAUGACUGCCCUAUGGGUUGUAAACUUCUUUUAUAAAGGAAUAAAAUGUUCCACGUGUGGGAUUUUGUAUGUACCAUAUGAAUAAGGAUCGGCUAACUCCGUGCCAGCAGCCGCGGUAAUACGGAGGAUUCGAGCGUUAUCCGGAUUUAUUGGGUUUAAAGGGAGCGUAGGUGGAUUGUUAAGUCAGUUGUGAAAGUUUGCGGCUCAAACGUAAAAUUGCAGUUGAAACUGGCAGUCUUGAGUACAGUAGAGGUGGGCGGAAUUCGUGGUGUAGCGGUGAAAUGCUUAGAUAUCACGAAGAACUCCGAUUGCGAAGGCAGUUCACUGGACUGCAACUGACACUGAGGCUCGAAAGUGUGGGUAUCAAACAGGAUUAGAUACCCCAGUAGUC